GUUUUGCCUACCACAGUGAGCUCCGGCUUGCUAGUCUCCCCUGGAGGCGACACGCUCAACGUGCGGAAAGGCCCUCCUUGGAGGGAAAUCCGCAGCCCCUACCCGGGGUUCAGAGACUCAAUGAGUGUGGGCUCAGUAAGUGAGCUUGAGAUAGAGCCCGUCCCGGCUGGCAACUGCCGGGAGUCAACGGAACCUGCGGAAGGAUCAUUA
rnacentral:rRNA from 1 species